rnacentral:rRNA from 1 species
UACGGAGGAUCCGAGCGUUAUCCGGAUUUAUUGGGUUUAAAGGGUGCGUAGGCGGACUAUUAAGUCAGUGGUGAAAGCCUGCAGCUUAACUGCAGAACUGCCAUUGAUACUGAUAGUCUUGAGUUUGGUUAAGGUAGGCGGAAUGUGUAAUGUAGCGGUGAAAUGCUUAGAUAUUACACAGAACACCAAUUGCGUAGGCAGCUUACUGAGCCGACACUGACGCUGAGGCACGAAAGCGUGGGGAUCGAACAGGAUUAGA